rnacentral:rRNA from 1 species
UACGAAGGGGGCUAGCGUUGUCCGGAAUUACUGGGCGUAAAGAGCUCGUAGGUGGUUUGUCGCGUUGUUCGUGAAAACCGGGGGCUUAACCCUCGGCGUGCGGGCGAUACGGGCAGACUUGAGUACUGCAGGGGAGACUGGAAUUCCUGGUGUAGCGGUGGAAUGCGCAGAUAUCAGGAGGAACACCGAUGGCGAAGGCAGGUCUCUGGGCCAUAACUGACGCUGAGAAGCGAAAGCAUGGGGAGCGAACAGG